rnacentral:rRNA from 1 species
UGCUAAUACCGCGUAACAACAAAUCACACAUGUGAUCUGUUUGAAAGGUCCUUUUGGAUCGCUAGAGGAUGGUCUUGCGGCGUAUUAGCUUGUUGGUAGGGUAGAAGCCUACCAAGGCAAUGAUGCGUAGCCGAGUUGAGAGACUGGCCGGCCACAUUGGGACUGAGACACUGCCCAAACUCCUACGGGAGGCUGCAGUAGGGAAUUUUCCGCAAUGCACGAAAGUGUGACGGAGCGACGCCGCGUGUGUGAUGAAGGCUUUCGGGUCGUAAAGCACUGUUGUAAGGGAAGAAUAACUGAAUU